CACACAAAACACCACUCCGUGAGAGGAAAACAAUUCCCAGAGAGAGGGAGAGAGAGAGAGAGAGAACAGGGAGAGGAUUCAUUCCGUUGAUUUUUUCGAUCCGUUCAUCGUCUUCUUCCUUCUUCACUCGAUCAAAAACCCCAAAAUCCCAGAUGGGUUUCAUUGAUUCUUUCAGGUCAAUCGAUUGGGAGCAUGAAUCUUUCCCUUCUUAUGAGGAUUUCACUUUUCUUCCCCUUUUUGCGCUCCUCUUUCCCACUGUUCGAUUUUUCCUCGACAGGCUUCUCUUUGAGAAAGUGGGAAGAAGAUUGAUCUUUGGCAAGGGAUAUCCGCUGAAGGAUGCGAAUACGGAUGAGAAACAGAAGAAGAUAAGGAAAUUUAAGGAGUCAGCCUGGAAAUGUGUUUACUUUGUUUCUGCAGAGCUGUUGGCUCUAUCCGUUACGUAUGACGAGCCUUGGUUUACUAGCACGAAACAUUUUUGGGUAGGACCAGGAGAUCAGGUCUGGCCUGACCAAAGUGCUAAGUUGAAAUUGAAGGGAUUAUAUAUGUAUGCGGCUGGAUUUUAUACGUACUCCAUAUUUGCUUUGAUUUUUUGGGAAACAAGACGUUCGGACUUCGGGGUGUCCAUGAGCCACCAUGUAGCAACGCUCAUUCUCAUCGUACUUUCCUACAUCUUUCGAUUUGCUCGUGUCGGUUCUGUGGUGCUUGCUCUUCAUGAUGCAAAUGAUGUUUUCCUUGAGAUAGGAAAGAUGUCCAAAUACGGAGGCGCCGAGACGUUGGCUAGCAUUGCGUUUGUACUUUUUGUUGUGUCUUGGUUAUUGUUACGUCUCAUCUACUAUCCAUUUUGGAUCCUUUGGAGCACAAGUUAUGAAGUUCUCCUUGUAUUGGACAAGAACAAACAUCCAGUUGAUGGACCAAUCUACUAUUAUGUGUUCAAUACUCUUCUAUUUUGCCUUUUAGUUCUUCACAUAUAUUGGUGGGUGCUCAUUUAUCGAAUGCUGGUUAAACAAAUCGAAGCUAGAGGACAGAUUAGUGAAGAUGUUCGUUCAGAUUCUGAGGGUGAAGAAGAUCAUGAAGAUUGACAAGGAACAAUCAAUGCAGAAAAUACUACUGUUGUAUACAUGAAAGGUCUGAUGAGAUAGAGAUUAGUCAUACAAUGUGGUUCUUGCCAAACUGGAUAUAAGUCAGUCGUGGCGUCGUCUAGUUGGAUGAACGAACCGUGUAUCAUUUCAUCAAUACAUUCGGUCGGGGUAAGUGAAGGAUGCAAGAUGGAGAAGGGUUGGCAGUUGAAGGAAUUUAAAUCUUGAUUUGAAGGUUUCGGCCUGUUUUGCUUUUGAUUGUUUUGCAGAGGUAUAUUAAGCUUGAACUCAGAAUUUCACCCUUGACUUCAUUAUUUAUUCUUUCUCAUUAACUACUGAAUCUUCAUUUCUCUCUGUUUAUGUAAAAUUAUACCAAUAAAUGAUUUCAUUGACUUGAAAGAUGAACCGUCA